CUUGGUCAUUUAGAGGAAGUAAAAGUCGUAACAAGGUCUCCGUUGGUGAACCAGCGGAGGGAUCAUUACCGAGUUUACAACUCCCAAACCCCUGUGAACAUACCAAUUGUUGCCUCGGCGGAUCAGCCCGCUCCCGGUAAAACGGAACGGCCCGCCAGAGGACCCCUAAACUCUGUUUCUAUAUGUAACUUCUGAGUAAAACCAUAAAUAAAUCAAAACUUUCAACAACGGAUCUCUUGGUUCUGGCAUCGAUGAAGAACGCAGCAAAAUGCGAUAAGUAAUGUGAAUUGCAGAAUUCAGUGAAUCAUCGAAUCUUUGAACGCACAUUGCGCCCGCCAGUAUUCUGGCGGGCAUGCCUGUUCGAGCGUCAUUUCAACCCUCAAGCCCCCGGGUUUGGUGUUGGGGAUCGGCGAGCCUCACGGCAAGCCGGCCCCGAAAUCUAGUGGCGGUCUCACUGCAGCCUCCAUUGCGUAGUAGCUAACACCUCGCAACUGGAACGCGGUGCGGCCAAGCCGUUAAACCCCCCCAACUUCUGAAUGUUGACCUCGGAUCAGGUAGGAAUACCCGCUGAACUUAAGCAUAUCAAUAAGCGGAGGA
rnacentral:rRNA from 1 species